AACGAACGCUGGCGGCAGGCUUAACACAUGCAAGUCGAGCGCGCCCUUCGGGGUGAGCGGCGGACGGGUGAGUAACGCGUGGGAACGUGCCCCUUUCUUCGGAAUAGCUUCGGGAAACUGGGAGUAAUGCCGAAUACGCCGAGCCAUAGCGAUAUGGUUUGGGAAAGAUUUAUCGGAGAGGGAUCGGCCCGCGUUGGAUUAGGUAGUUGGUGGGGUAACGGCCUACCAAGCCGACGAUCCAUAGCUGGUUUGAGAGGAUGACCAGCCACACUGGGACUGAGACACGGCCCAGACUCCUACGGGUGGCUG
rnacentral:rRNA from 1 species